rnacentral:rRNA from 1 species
AUGGCCAAAGAGGUAAAAACAAAGUCCAAAUCUCAAAAACCCGCCAUCUACACUCCCAAUGUCUCAUGUGAGAUAGUGGACGAUGAGUGUGAAGAGGGCAUGGAGAAUGAUGAUGAAUCCUUGAUGGCUUUCAUGGAAACUCUUCAUGGUGAAGCUCGUGCUCGUUUUGGUGAUCUCCUUAAUUCACUCGCCGAACUCAACGAUUUUAUUGAGAAUGUUGAAAACCUCCUCAUAGAGGAAAAAGAGAGAGUCGAACUCCUCGAGCACGAACUACAUGAAGAGAGUGUCAUGAGAGCAUCACUUAAGGAAGCCUUGUCAACUCAUCAAAUUGACUUUGUUAAAAACCAAAGAUGCUUUGUAACUUGCUCUUGA